CACCUCUCAGGGUCGCCCCUGGAGAGUUUCCUGUACUUUACCAGUCUCAGCUAUGGGAGGGAGAGUCAAGCGGAGGCAUAUUCAUUCCAUUCCUAGCUUUGGGCAGUGGCUAGUGAGUGGAAGGCAAUCUGCUACAAAU